AACGAACGCUGGCGGCAUGCCUAACACAUGCAAGUCGAACGAGCCCUUCGGGUCUAGUGGCGCACGGGUGCGUCACGCGUGGGAACCUGCCCUUAGGUUCGGAAUAACUCCCCGACAGGGGUGCUAAUACCGGAUAAUGUCUUCGGCCCAAAGAUUUAUCGCCUUUGGUUGGGCCCGCGUUGGAUUAGCUAGUUGGUAGGGUAAAAGCCUACCAAGGCGACGAUCCAUAGCUGGUUUGAGAGGAUGAUCAGCCACACUGAGACGGAGACACGGCCCAGACUCUUACGGGAGGCAGCAGUGGGGAAUAGUGGACAAUGGGCGAAAGCCUGAUCCAGCAAUGCCGCGUGAGUGAUGAAGGCCUUAGGGUUGAAAAGCUCUUUUACCCGGGAUGAUAAUGACAGUACCGGGAGAAUAAGCCCCGGCUAACUCCGUG
rnacentral:rRNA from 1 species